UAUUUCUUUUUUGUAAUAGACAAUAAUUCCUCCACUAUGUCGACGUGCUUUUUUUUUCUUUUUGCGUAUUUUUGAGAAAGUAUUAUAAUUUGAUAUUUUAUAAUCUUUACACUCCCCUUUCCAGGUUUCAAGUAAUAUAUUUAUGUCACUUUGAAUUUUAUCUAUAAAAAAAUCAUCUUGAAUUUUGUCCCCAAGGCCACGCACAUUCCAAGCAGAAAUAGUUAAAUAGCGUUUAUUCUCAUGAGUUCCCAUGAUCAAAUUCCUUCCUUUUUUUUUGG
rnacentral:lncRNA from 1 species